GACGAACGCUGGCGGCGUGCUUAACACAUGCAAGUCGAACGAACAGACGUGGUGCUUGCUCUGGGUGGGUUAGCGGCGGACGGGUGAGUAACACGUGAGUAACCUGCCUUUGACUCUGGGAUAACCCCGGGAAACCGGAUCUAAUACUGGAUAAGACAUGGCACCGCAUGGUGGAGUGUGGAAAGGGGUUUAUUGGUUUUGGAUGGGUUGACGGCCCACCAGCUUAUAGGGGGGGUAAUGGCACACCAUGGCGAGGACGGGUAGCCGACCCGAGAAGGUGGCCGGCCACACUACUACUGCGGCACGGCGCAGACUCCUAUGGGAGGCAGCGGUGGAGAGUCUUACGCAACAGGCCGACGCCUGAUACAACGGCGCUGGGUUCGGAAUGCCCUCUUUCGGGUUAUGAACCUCUUUCAGCGCGGCAGAAGCGAGAGUGACGGUACGUGCAGAAAAAGCGCCGGCUAACUACGUG
rnacentral:rRNA from 1 species